rnacentral:rRNA from 1 species
AGGGAUCAUUACCGAGUUUACAACUCCCAAACCCCUGUGAACAUACCACUUGUUGCCUCGGCGGAUCAGCCCGCUCCCGGUAAAACGGGACGGCCCGCCAGAGGACCCCUAAAACUCUGUUUCUAUAUGUAACUUCUGAGUAAAACCAUAAAUAAAUCAAAACUUUCAACAACGGAUCUCUUGGUUCUGGCAUCGAUGAAGAACGCAGCAAAAUGCGAUAAGUAAUGUGAAUUGCAGAAUUCAGUGAAUCAUCGAAUCUUUGAACGCACAUUGCGCCCGCCAGUAUUCUGGCGGGCAUGCCUGUUCGAGCGUCAUUUCAACCCUCAAGCACAGCUUGGUGUUGGGACUCGCGUUAAUUCGCGUUCCUCAAAUUGAUUGGCGGUCACGUCGAGCUUCCAUAGCGUAGUAGUAAAACCCUCGUUACUGGUAAUCGUCGCGGCCACGCCGUUAAACCCCAACUUCUGAAUGUUGACCUCGGAUCAGGUAGGAAUACCCGCUGAACUUAAGCAUAUCAA